UCCGGGCGUUCGCUUGACAAGAUGGCGGCGGCGGGGUGGUGGCUGCCGCAUUUUCGUGUCUGAGUCCUUCCCGGGUUCUAAGGCGGGCGCGGUUCUGCUGUGCCCGGCCCGCGAGGUCUAAGGCAUGGGCUUCCAGCCUCCGGCCGCUCUUCUUUUGAGGCUUCUCCUUCUGCAGGGCGUCCUGAGGCUGCUGUGGGGGGACCUGGCUUUCAUCCCUCCUUUCAUCCGAAUGUCCGGCCCUGCGGUCGGCGCGUCCCUGGUCGGAGACACCGAGGGUGUGACCGUGUCCCUGGCAGUGCUGCAGGACGAGGCGGGAAUAUUGCCAGUUCCGACGUGUGGAGUGCUGAGCAAUGAGACGGAAGACUGGAGUGUGACUGUGACCCCCGGUGCGAAGGUGUUGGAAGUGACAGUAAGGUGGAAGAGAGGUCUGGACUGGUGUUCCUCCAAUGAGACAGAGUCCUUCUCAGAGUCCCCCUGUAUCCUCCAGACCCUUCUGGUUUCAGCAUCUCGUAAUUCAUCCUGUUUAGCACAUCUACUCAUUCAAGUGGAAAUUUAUGCCAACUCUUCUCUGACCCAUAAUGCUUCAGAGAACGUGACUGUCAUUCCUAACCAGGUGUAUCAGCCCCUUGGCCUUUGUCCUUGUAAUUUAACAGCUGGAGCCUGUGAUGUUCGCUGCUGCUGUGACCAGGAAUGCUCAUCAAAUUUAACAGAGCUGUUCAGACGGUCCUGCUUCACUGGUGUGUUUGGAGGAGAUGUCAAUCCUCCUUUUGAUCAGCUCUGCUCUGCUGGGAUGACGACACGUGGUGUCCCUGAUUGGUUUCCCUUUCUGUGUGUGCAGUCGCCCCUUGCCAACACACCCUUCCUUGGUUACUUCUAUCAUGGUGCCGUUUCCCCCAAACAGGACUCUUCCUUUGAAGUAUAUGUGGAUACUGAUGCAAAAGACUUUGCAGACUUUGGUUACAAACAAGGAGAUCCCAUUGUGACUGUAAAGAAGGCAUAUUUUACUGUCCCGCAGGUGUCCCUGGCUGGGCAGUGUAUGCAGAACGCCCCAGUGGCAUUUCUUCACAAUUUUGAUGUGAAAUGCGUUACUAAUUUGGAACUAUACCAAGAACGAGAUGGUAUUAUCAAUGCGAAGAUAAAGAAUAUUGCCUUAGGAGGCAUAGUUACACCAAAAGUAAUCUAUGAGGAAGCAACUGACCUAGACAAAUUCAUCACCAAUACAGAAACUCCUUUAAAUAACGGAUCAGCCCCCAGAAUUGUGAAUGUGGAAGAACAUUAUAUUUUCAAAUGGAAUAAUAAUACCAUCAGUGAAAUAAAUGUUAAAAUUAUUAGGGCAGAGAUUAAUGCCCACCAGAAAGGGAUAAUGACACAGAGAUUUGUAGUAAAAUUUUUAAGCUAUAAUAGUGGUAAUGAAGAAGAAUUAUCUGGAAAUCCAGGUUACCAACUUGGCAAGCCUGUCCGAGCUCUAAAUAGCAACAGGAUGAAUACUGUCACGACUUUACAUCUUUGGCAAUCGGCUGGAAGGGGUCUGUGUACAUCAGCAACUUUCAAACCCAUUUUAUUUGGAGAAAAUGUACUCUCUGGAUGCCUGUUAGAAGUCGGGAUUAAUGAAAAUUGUACUCAGCUCAGGGAGAAUGCUGUUGAAAGACUUGAUUCAUUAAUACAAGUGACUCAUGUUGCAAUGAGAGGCAACUCCGAUUAUGCUGAUCUUAGUGAUGGCUGGCUCGAAAUAAUACGGUUUCAUUCUGUCACCCAGGCUGGAGUGCAGUGGUACAGUCACAGCUCAUUGCAGCCUCAUACUCCCAGGCUCAAGGGAUCCUCUCGCCUCAGCCUUCCAAGUAGCUGGCACCACAGGUGUGUGCCACCACAUCUGGCUAAUUUUUUGUAUUAUUUGUAGAAAUGGGUUUCGCCAUGUUGCCCAGGCUGGUCAUUAACUCCUGGGCUUAAGUGAUCUGCCCACCCCAGCCUCUUAAAGUAUUGGGAUUACAGGCAUGAGCCCCUGUGCCUGGCCAACAACCGUCUUUGUGAAAGAAAGUCUAGGCUGGGAGCAGUGGCUGACGCCUAUAAUCCCAGCGCUUUGGGAGGCCAAUGCAAGAGGAUUGCUUGAGGCCAGGAGUUUUUGUUUUGUUUUGUUUUGUUUUGUUUUUGAGACGGAGUCUUGCUCUUGUCACCCAUGCUGGAGUGGAAUGGCACAAUCUCGGCUCACUGCAACCUCUGCCUCCUGGGUUCAGGUGAUUCUCCUGCCUCAGCCUCCCGAGUAGCUGGGAUUACAGGUGCCCACCACCACGCCUGGCUAAUUUUUGUAUUUUUAAAAUAGAGAUGGGGUUUCACCAUGUUGGCCAGGCUGGUCUUGAACUCCUGACCUUGUGAUCCACCUGCCUCAGCCUCCCAAAGUGCUGGGAUUAUAGGCGUUAGCCACCGUGCCCGGCUGAGGCCAGGAGCUUAAGACCAGCCUGGGCAACAUAGUGAGACCUUGUCUCUACGAAAAAUUUAAAAAAUUAGUCGGAUGUGGUGGCAUGUCCCUGCAGUCCCAGCUACUUGGGAUGCUGAGGAAAGAGGAUCGCUGGAGCCUAGGAGUUUGAGGCUACAGUGAGCUCUGAUUACACCACCACACUCCAACCUGGAUGACAGAGCAAGAUCCUGACUCUAAAAAUAAAACAAAAUAAAAUAAAAUACAUUAAAACAAAGUCCAAGCAAGGUUUGAAGAGUUUUAGUGCACUUCCAUUUGCAUUGCUGUUUUUGAUUGCCAGGAAUACAGGCAUUUGAGAAUUGACUUUGGAAUUUAUAAAGGUAAUUUUGUUAACUUAAAAGAAAAUAAAGUGAUUGAAAAUAUUGUGAUAGAAGCCAGACACAAAAGACCACGUAUUGUAUGACUCAAUUUAUAUGCAGUGUCCAGAACGGGCAAUGUAUAGAGACAGCAGAUUAGUGGAUGCCGGAGGUGGAGGAGUUGGGAGGAAAUGUGGAGAGACUGCCGUGGGUAAAGGAUUUCUUCGCAGAGUGAUAAAAUGUUCUAAAAUAGAAUCUGCUGAUUGUUACACAGCUUUGUGACUAUACCAGAAACCAUCGAAUUGCACACUUUAAGUGGGUGGAUUGUAUAGUAUGUGAACUAUAUCUCAAUAAAGCUGUCAAGAAAGAAAGUAAUUAAGGUGCAACGGAUUGGCCGGGCUCGGUGGCUCACGCCUGUAAUCCCAGCACUUUGGGAGGCCGAGGUGGGUGGAUCACGAGGUCAGGAGAUCGAGAUCAUCCUGGCUAACACAGGUGAAACCCCAUCUCUACUAAAAAUAUAUAAAAAAAAAAAAUUAGCUGGGCGUAGUGGCAGGCGCCUGUAGUCCCAGCUACUCAGGAGGCUGAGGCAGGAGAAUGGCGGGAACCCGGGAGGCGGAGCUUGAGCCGAGAUUGCGCCACUGCACUCCAGCCUGGGCGACAGAGCGAGACUCCGUCUCACAAAAAAAAAAAAAAAAAAAAAAAAAAGGUGCAACAGAUCUAAUAAUAGCAGGGAUCAUGGGGAUGGGGGCCAGAUAGAAAGACUUGACAGCCCAGUGCCUUUGGCCAAAGGUAUUUGCAGUAUUGAAUUGGCAAGUAGAUCAUACACAAAGGGAAGAAGAUGUACCACAUGUACAUGGAAUAAAGGUAAACCAGACUUUAAAGCUUCUUCACCAGGCCCGAUUUCACUUCCGAAUCCAAAAUGUCCUUUGAAUCAUGGAGAUCCAGCUCAUUGGGUUAUGUUGCAGAGGCCCAAGGUCACAGUGAGUUUUGGCAGAGCUAGAAUGAAAACCUGGAAUUCCAACCUCUUUCCUCUGUUCCCUGGUAGCAAGUUAGGUAACUUCCCGGUUUCUUGGGGAGUCUUGGGUGUGUAAAUACUUUGAAUAGAAAGCUUUUUUUAUUGAGCUAAUUAAUGGAAUUGCCUUUUGGGACCAGAAAGAGCCCAAUGAGUGUGCACAUCUGCUUUGCCCCUGCCCUGCUCUCCCUGCAGAUGCUGCUCUGCCCCUCUCCUCUGCCUGGUGGGUAGGGAUCAGCCCUCUGGAUCCUGCCCUCGCCCUUUCCAUCCCCUCUGAGGUCAGCUAGGCUCAGUGGGCUGGAAUUCACACAACAGCCCAUACAGACACACACCUGUAUUGUGCCCACUCCUUGUGAUUGGGGUCAUGGUGAUGAGGACCCUCCCUUCCCCCUCUGUGGUCAUGGAUCAUGUGAUAUGUCUGUGAGCUUGAGGUGCCCCAGACCACUCUCUGACUUGGGUAGGGAGUCCUGUUGGACCCCCACCCCCACGGGGCACUCAGGCUGCUGUUUGCUUAUCUAGCUGGUGCUCAAGGCACUGGGCUCAGACCUAGAUCCUCAUUUGCAAACGGAACCCAGAGGUCGAGCUUGUCAAGCCCUGGGCUCUGCCACCCAGGCCAGCUAGAUAGGCUGUGGAAUGACCCUGAGGGCUGGAGAAAAGUCAGCACUUGGGAAAUAAAUGGUAGGGAAAAUGUCCAGACGGAGAACCCAGGUUGAUGAGGUAUGAAAUCAGUGUGGUGAUGACAUUUUGUUGCCUUCAAGGUGAAAGGGGUUAGCUUUUAUUUCAUGUCUGAGCCAAAAAGCAAUCUUGAUCCUGGUUAAUAAACAGAAGUGGUGUUGACACAUGUAUAAGGAAAUUAGACAUAAAACAGUGUUACUGACCUUCGGAAUCCCUGAAGGAGCAAAGAACCCCCUUCAGAGGAGCCGUAGAACCUACCCUACUUCCUCUCAUUGACCUUGCUGGGUUUUCUCCAAGAUAAAUGCAAAUUCAUUUCUCAUUCAAUUUCAUUCUCUUCCAGUUGUAUUAAUACUAUGGUAACACAUUAGGAAAUUACUUACCUAUCUAAUACAUACUAAUUAAAGUUGCUAGUAUGGAUUUUGUUUUAUUAUUAUUAUUUUUUCAAUUAUUAUCAUUAUUUUUUUUUGAGAUGGAGUCUCACUUUGUUGCCCAGGCUGGAGUGCAGUGGCAUGAUCUCGGCUCACUGCAACCUCCACCUCCCAGGUUCAAGUGAUUCUCCUGCCUCAGCCUCCCAAGUAGCUGGGAUUACAGGCAUGUGCCACCAUGCCUGGCCAAUUUUUAUAUUUUUAGUAGAGACAGAGUUUCACUAUGUUGGCCAGGCUGGUCUUGAACUCCUGACCUCAGGUCAUCCACCCACCUCAGCCUCCCAAGGUGCUGGGAUUACAGGCGUGAACCACCAUGCCCAACUGAUUUUUAUUUUUAUUUUUUGAGAUGAGGUUCUCACUCUUGUCCAGGCUGGAGUGUAGUGGCGCCAUGCCAUCGUGGCUCACCGCAGCCUCGACUUCCCAGGCUGAAGCAAUCCUCUCACCUCAGCCUUCUGGGUAGCUGGUGUGUGCUACAGGUGUGUGCCACCAUGCCUGGCUAUUUUAUUUUUCUCGAGAAGACAGGGUUUUGCCAUGUUGCCCAGGCUGGUCCCAAACUCCUGGGCUCAAGCAGUGCUUCUACCUCGACCUCCCAAAGUGCUAGGAUUAUCGGCAUGAGCCACUGUGCCUGGCCUAAAGUUGUUAGUAUGGAUUUUAAAUGUCUUACACAGCUUUUACUAGAACUGUGACUGCAUGGAAUAACGAUGGCAUUUUACUGCAAUUAUAUAUGUUUCUGUUAAAAGGCUGGGUAGAUUUCAGUGGGAGCUUGGAAACUGAAUCAUGAUUUAUGGCUUUAAUAUGUGGGUCAGGGCUUUUGAGUUCUAGUGACUGGCUAACAUACAAGGAAACUUUUUUUUUUUUUUGAGACGGAGUCUCACUCUGUCACCAGGCUGCAGUGCAGUGGCGUGAUCUUGGCUCACUGCAAGCUCCGCCUCCCAGGUUCACGCCAUUCUCCUGCCUCAGCCUCCCAAGUAACUGGGACUACAGGUGUAGAUGCCCCUGAUCCAGGUGCAGACCAGCUGGCUAGCAGUGUGAACGGCAUGUGCC